rnacentral:tRNA from 1 species
GAGGAUGUAGCUCAGACGGACAGAGCAUUUGUUUCCGAAACAAAUGGUCACAGGUUCAAUUCCUGUCAUCCUCG